rnacentral:tRNA from 1 species
GGAAAUAGCUCAGUGGUAGGGCACAUGCUUAGCAUGCACAAGGUCCUGGGUUCAAUCCCCAGUGCUUCCA